rnacentral:rRNA from 1 species
CACGUAGUUAGCCGUGGCUUAUUCCUCAGGUACCGUCAUCUGUUCGUCCCUGAGAAAAGAAGUUUACAACCCGAAAGCCUUCUUCCUUCACGCGGCGUUACUGGGUCAGGCUUGCGCCCAUUGCCCAAUAUUCCCCACUGCUGCCUCCCGUAGGAGUCUGGGCCGUGUCUCAGUCCCAAUGUGGCCGGCCAACCUCUCAGUCCGGCUACUGAUCGUCGCCUUGGUGGGCCGUUGCCCCGCCAACUAGCUAAUCAGACGCGAGCCCAUCUCAGAGCGAUAAAUCUUUGGCAGUCAGAGCCAUGUGGCCCAACUGCAUCAUGCGGUAUUAGCAGAUGUUUCCAUCUGUUACUUCCCCACUCCAAGGCAGGUUGCUCACGCGUUACUCACCCGUCCGCCACUAGGCACUUCCCCGCUACGUUCGUACCGUAAAACCGUUCCGUUUGGGGGUCGUCCCCGGUUCGUACGUUGCAUGUGUUAACGCACGCCGCCAGCGUUCAUCCUGACG